CCUACGGGAGGCAGCAGUGAGGAAUAUUGGUCAAUGGACGAGAGUCUGAACCAGCCAAGUAGCGUGAAGGAUGACUGCCCUAUGGGUUGUAAACUUCUUUUAUAUGGGAAUAAAAUGUCUCACGUGUGGGAUUUUGUAUGUACCAUAUGAAUAAGGAUCGGCUAACUCCGUGCCAGCAGCCGCGGUAAUACGGAGGGUCCGAGCGUUAUCCGGAUUUAUUGGGUUUAAAGGGAGCGUAGGUGGAAUGUUAAGUCAGUUGUGAAAGUUUGGGGCUCAACCGUGACAUUGCAGUUGAAACUGGCGGGCUUGAGUACAGUAGAGGUAGGCGGAAUUCGUGGUGUAGCGGUGAAAUGCUUAGAUAUCACGAAGAACUCCGAUUGCGAAGGCAGUUCACUGGACUGCAACUGACGCUGAGGCUCGAAAGUGUGGGUAUCAAACAGGAUUAGAUACCCGGGUAGUC
rnacentral:rRNA from 1 species